UACAGAGGUCUCAAGCGUUGUUCGGAUUCAUUGGGCGUAAAGGGUGUGUAGGCGGCGCCGUAAGUCGGGUGUGAAAUUUCGGAGCUUAACUCCGAAACUGCAUUCGAUACUGCGGUGCUUGAGGACUGGAGAGGAGACUGGAAUUCAUGGUGUAGCAGUGAAAUGCGUAGAGAUCAUGAGGAAGGCCAGUGGCGAAGGCGGGUCUCUGGACAGUUCCUGACACUGAGACACGAAGGCCAGGGGAGCAAACGGG
rnacentral:rRNA from 1 species